GAGGGUAUAACUGAAGUGGUAGAGCGCAUGCUUAGCAUGCAUGAGGUCCUGGGUUCAAUUUCUAGUAUCUCCA
rnacentral:tRNA from 1 species